rnacentral:rRNA from 1 species
GACGAACGCUGGCGGCGUGCUUAACACAUGCAAGUCGAACGGAAAGGCCCUGCUUUUGUGGGGUGCUCGAGUGGCGAACGGGUGAGUAACACGUGAGUAACCUGCCCUUGACUUUGGGAUAACUUCAGGAAACUGGGGCUAAUACCGGAUAGGAGCUCCCGCUGCAUGGUGGGGGUUGGAAAGUUUCGGCGGUUGGGGAUGGACUCGCGGCUUAUCAGCUUGUUGGUGGGGUAGUGGCUUACCAAGGCUUUGACGGGUAGCCGGCCUGAGAGGGUGACCGGCCACAUUGGGACGGAGAUACGGCCCAGACUCCUACGGGAGGCAGCAGUGGGGAAUAUUGCACAAUGGGCGGAAGCCUGAUGCAGCAACGCCGCGUGCGGGAUGACGGCCUUCGGGUUGUAAACCGCUUUCGCCUGUGACGAAGCGUGAGUGACGGUAAUGGGUAAAGAAGCACCGGCUAACUACGUG